rnacentral:rRNA from 1 species
AUUGAACGCUGGCGGCAGGCCUAACACAUGCAAGUCGAACGGUAACAGGAAGAAGCUUGCUUCUUUGCUGACGAGUGGCGGACGGGUGAGUAAUGUCUGGGAAACUGCCUGAUGGAGGGGGAUAACUACUGGAAACGGUAGCUAAUACCGCAUAACGUCGCAAGACCAAAGAGGGGGACCUUCGGGCCUCUUGCCAUCGGAUGUGCCCAGAUGGGAUUAGCUAGUAGGUGGGGUAACGGCUCACCUAGGCGACGAUCCCUAGCUGGUCUGAGAGGAUGACCAGCCACACUGGAACUGAGACACGGUCCAGACUCCUACGGGAGGCAGCAGUGGGGAAUAUUGCACAAUGGGCGCAAGCCUGAUGCAGCCAUGCCGCGUGUAUGAAGAAGGCCUUCGGGUUGUAAAGUACUUUCAGCGGGGAGGAAGGGAGUAAAGUUAAUACCUUUGCUCAUUGACGUUACCCGCAGAAGAAGCACCGGCUAACUCC